GCGCCCAUAGCUCAGUUGGUAGAGCAACCGCCUCUUAAGCGGAGGGUCGCAGGUUCAAAUCCUGCUGGGCGCACAA
rnacentral:tRNA from 1 species